CAGUUUAAAUAAGUGUUAAAGCUAAACUAAUAUGCGCAUUUAAUAAAUCACGCAUCAAAAUAUCGAAGCUUUUAUUGCGCUCAGCAAUACCGCUUACGCAACUGCAGACAGCUGCUUAAUACAGUCACACUUGUCUUGACUUGGCUAUAUUUGAUAUUAUUACUUUGAUUCACACGUUGUGCGUUUUAUACGCGCGCGCGUAUCAAUUGUAAUGAUUAUCAACAACAACACAACAGAUUUCCAUCUGAGCCGAGCGUGAGUUCCACCCUCUGUGGUGUGUCUCAAUUAAGCGCUCGCGCACAUUCAUUGAAAUUACCUUCAUGGAUAACUCAGGGAAAGUUUGGCUAAUACGUACGAGCUAAUAACUCUAAUUACAACGCUCGCUCACUCUCGCUAAUCUAAACACAACCAUUCUCWUAUUAGCUGAGUGACGCGCGCUUACUUACUACUCAGCACUCAAUGGURAACUUACKAGACUACUGCAUUAUCAUCUUCGGAUGAAUGCGUUCGGUUCUCGUGUAACGUUUAACUGCAACAUGAGAGACAUUGAGCACGCAGUUGGUUUAGUCCUCGUGGCUAAUACCAACACUUUACGCUGAGCAGACUUUGYKAUAUUCUUAUUGCGRAGCAUGUCKUACWAGCAUCUACAGCAUCAAGUCACAGGGUUGGCAAGUGUAUUUUUGAACCUUCAAAGCAGUCACGCAUACGGAAGAGUAGUUUCUGAUCCCAUAGAAGGAGCACCGUACGAUGAGAGACCGCUCUUAGUUCUAAGGAACGCAGCAGGCGCGUAAAUUGCCCAAUGCUAGUACCCUACAGUAUUACAAUCAAUUUAACGCAUAUAAACUAACUAUUAAUAACACAUUACUUUAACACUGUUAUAUACAACAAAUAUCCUUGUUUAUCUGCGCUACACUCAAUGUGAUAUUCUAAAUUCACUGAGGCAGUGACAAGCUGUAACGGUUGAGUAUAAUAAUGACGAGUGUCUGGCAUUGCCGCUGUCUUCGGAUAGCUUGGCAAUUCUGCCGACGCUUUGUGUGCUCAAUUGGAAUGCGGUGAGUUUAAGCAACUCAGAACCUUUGGAUGGUGAUAUUCGUAAGAUNNNNNNNNNNNNNNNNNNNNNNNNNNNNNNNNNNNNNNNNNNNNNNNNNNNNCCGCGGUAAUACCAGCUCCACUGGCCUAUACAAUCAUUGUUGCGGUUAAGAGGCUCGUAGUUGGAUUGAACACAAUACAAACUACUAACUAAAUUAGUAUUUAAUUGUAUUAUAUACGCGCUCGCGCAUACUCUCGUAUAUACUUUAAUUACUACCAUUACACUCAUUACAACAGUAGAAGUAAAUAUGUACGCGACAGCGCUGCGCUUAAUUUCGACACAAUUAAUUUACAUACGCGCGCGCUAUUCUCAAAUAGCAGCUUGGUUAGUUUAUUUCAACACUGUGAACAAAUCAGAGUGUAUCAAACAUGUCGUAUUUGAAUGUGCAUUGAAUGAUCCAUCAUGGAAUGUUGCCAUUAUAUAAAACACGCUUUGCUGAUACACGCAUAUACUAACUAAUUAGCAAUCAGCGCUAUUUAAUUUAUGUCGAUGGGGAUAGUUGGAGUCAACAGUACUGCUGGGCGAGAGGUGAAAUUCAUUGACCCUAGCAAGACUACCAAAAGCGAAAGCAGUUGGCUAGGCUAUACUCUUUGUCGAUGGUUACUUUGUGGUAGUUUUAGCGUUACGUACACUCAUUAUCUCAUACGCGCGCACAUAAUAUCACACUCGUAACUCACAUCACUUUACAAUGAAGAACGAAGGUUGGGGGAUCAAAGAGGAUCAGAUACCCUCGUCGUCCCAUUAAUUACAUCAAACGAUGGGCUCUCAAUUGCAUUUACAAGAUAUUUGCGUUUUGACCUCAACCUACUAAAUCAUGUUAACUGGCUUGAGCUCGUAUUUCGAUACGCUCGCCGAUAUACGUAUUUUAUGUACGGUCUCAUUGAAGACAUAACGCAUUCUGUUAUUAUUCUAGCGUGUCUCGCAUAUUACUGUGACAGUGGGUGAUUUAUCAUUAAAUAGGUAUCUUUGUUCUACUUUGUUCACAUUGCGACACUUGAUUUUCGGAGCUUUGCGCUCAAUUCUGGUGAGAUGUAAGCAUCAUGUUACGGUACCCGCAGUGUAUGUCUUCGGGCAUUUCACCUGUCGUGCGUAUCUAACAACUUUAUUUGAUGUGAAGCACGCUUUAGGCACGCGCUUACUGCAGAAAUGUCUGAGACAUUCCCCUCCGGGGGUAGUAUGCACGCAAGUGUGAAACUUGAAGGAAUUGACGGAAGGGCACCACAAGAACGCGUGGAGCAUGUGGCUUAAUUUGACUCAACGCGGGAAAUCUUACCGGGUCCGGACACACUGAGGAUUGACAGGCGAUAUCCAACAACUCUAUAUCUCUUAAUUGAGUGUAGUUAAGUUGUCUGGUGUUAAAUAUGCUAGUCCUUUCAUGAUUAUGUGAUAGGGGGUGCAUGGCCGUUCUUAGUUCGUGGAGUGAUCUGUCUGCUUAAUUGCGUUUCACUAAGGGCCUAUAUCAUUAUAGCACGUUGCGAGCGCAUUGACCCCUCACCUUCACGGGUGUUUGCGCGUGUCUUUGAUUUACGCUUUGCUCGUGCGUUUAGGUCCUGAAAGCAACGAACGUGACCGCAACCUCUUGUUGCCUUUAUUACUAUAAUUUCAAUCGAAUUUUCGAUUUUCCAAUUUUAGAUCAAAAACAAAGSCUUUUUUAAUYUAGAGGGRCCGUGGUUUUCUUCUWAACCCAAAGAAGGGUGGCRGGAUUACSGGGUCUGUGGAUCCCUUAAGAUKUUCGGGGYUSCRCACUGGCAACAAAGGAUCAUUGASKGAGCAUYCUCAUUUUCUAUUAACACMUCCAKGCGAGAGSCCGUAUAUUCCGGUGAAUAGWGGCAGGUGGAAUUAACGGAUAUUUGCAGCAUAACAGCUUUAAACGUGUACCUCUGCGCGCGAUAAAGCCUGCUUUGAAAGUUUAGUGGGUAAUCAAUUAGAAGUAAUGAUUUCCAAGUUAUAGCACACUUAUAUGCGGCAUUCUUACCCAGCUAGUCUUUUGUACUAGUCCUUGUGCGUAAGAAUGGGCGAUCUUUAUUGAUUCACCUAUUAUCUCAAAUACCGCAUGUGCAAUUGUCAAUUCAUGGUGGGGACAGACCAUUGUUAAUUGUUGGUCUCGGUCUUAACUAGGAAUGCCUUGUACGGGUCUUUGGUUCAUCAAACCACCCGGAAUACGUCCCUGCCCUUUGUACACACCGCCCGUCGCUCUUACCGAUGGACUUCUCUGUGAGUUUGAGGGACUGGGUCAAUCUUACCAGACCUA
rnacentral:rRNA from 1 species